CACCGUUUGCAAGAAUUUUAUCAACCCAAGCUGGGGUUAGUUUGUUUAUUUUUCAUUCGUUUUUGGAGUAAUGUUUUGACUCCUUGGCUCUGAAAUUAAGCCACAAAAAAAAAAAGCUACCAUUCCAUAAAGAAACCUACUCCACAAUUCCACGGCUCGCAAUACUCCCACAAACACUGGGGCUCUCCUCCUACUGUGCUCUUGCUGCAGUGCAGACUGCUGCCACCUGCCCUCAAAGAAGAAAUAUUACAGUUCACGUUUGGAAGACAUCUCACCACACUAUGGAUUUAAUCCUGGUUAAGUAUGUUGCCUGUGGCACCCUUAAACACGUGAGUGGCUUAUCAAUUUUCCCCUACUCACCUUCCAUCAUUCCAUUAAUUAUUUCUUCUAAUUUAUAUCCCUCUCUCUUUUUUUGCAGUUGCAAUUUACUGACGUCAUGUCUCACAUGCAUGCCUAACAUUGGACCUGGAUGUGGAUGAGGAGGAAGCAAAUAGAAAAACACAUGAGGUUUUUUCAGCACUUCAUAGUUUUUUGACAUCGAAAUAAUUUCUUCUAUGCCAUUGUCAGUGUAUCACCUCCACACUUCCCAGAGCUACAAAUCUAAACUCAUGCUUUAUCUUGGCCCUGGUAUUUUGAUUCCAUUCUGACCACCAGGGAUCUGAAUGCUGCUCAGCUCCAUGCAAGAUAACAUAUUUAUCAGCAUAUGACACGCACAUUUAACUCCUGAAAAGCUUUCUGUUAAAGACGGAAGAAAGAGUGAAGAUAAUGUUGAAGAUAAAGUUCUUAAAGGGUCCCAGUAGGUUGCAGUUUGCGCAGUCCUCCUUGAUAUAUCAAUCCCCCUUCAAAUCACAGUGUCCCUUUCACAGUCACGUUCUAAAGAUCAUGCACUUACCCUGAGGAGGAGCAAUGGUCCUGCCAGAAGCCGAUGCUGGAGGGUCUUGAAUGCAGCUUUCUGUUAAAGACGGAAGAAAGAGUGAAGAGUCAAGCUCUAUGAUUUUGACCCCUGCUGCUGAAUCCAGGGACAUCCUCUGCCAGAAGGACAUCUCUUAGCUCCGCCUCCCACUCUCGCAACUUGAUAGGCUUUCCUCGGUUUUGUCCUAGUCGAAGCCUCUGCAUCUUCUUUGUAACCGUUGCCCGACAAUCAUAGAACCUGCAAAUGUACAUAAACAUUACAAUUACAUUAAUAAAAAAACAAAUACUUAGAUUAAUGUUUUUUGAAAACCACAUUUCUUUUCACAUUGUGAUGGUUAUAUGUAUACUGUUCAGCAUGUGGCUGUGACAAAUAAAUUUUUUGGUUACGUUGAACUGUUA